UCCAAACACUGAUAUAAAAAUUAGACUCGUCCCAAAACAGAACAACCCAAACUUCUUGGACGACCACGACAUCACCGCCGCAGCUUCACCACCGAAUAGUCUGUGGUCGCCGCCGCUGUGGCCCGAACACAGCAAUCCAGUAGUUCCAUCACACGACGUCGCUGCUCCAUCACACGACGUCGCUGCUCCGAUCGUCGCCACCGAGCGCUGUAACACAGAAAUCAAAACCCGCGGGUUGCUGUUGACGCCUCGGAAUUAUCGGGCUGCGGCGUCAUAGGCACGCGCCGCCUAUUCUGCCGUGUCGAAGGAAACCUAAAUCAAAGAUAUACUCCACUGUAGAGUGAUUUUUCAGAGAGAGAGGAGAGAGGAGAGAGAAGAUGAGAGACUUCAUUAUCACUGAGAAAGUUAGUUCAGAGUUUUUGUUUUGGUGUUGAUUGGUUGGUCUCUGUGCUUCGUCGGCGCCAUAAUUAGGGGUGUAAAAGAUUGACAGAAAUCGAUCACCGUCUGUGAAAGUGAUUGUGAUUUGGGUUUGCCCAGCCCUUGAUAUUUUGAUUCGGGGGUUUUAUUUUUCUCUUGCGACCCAAUUUGGAGGAUAGUAACCGGAGGGACAAUACAGUAGCCGAAGACUUCUCUGUGUGUUGGCGUCUCUUCAUCAUCGACGAGUUGUCUGUCAGAUCGUGAAAUUUCCGAUCUGUUUCUUCGUGCCGCGACCUCAUUUUUUGCUAUCGCCGGAGUUUCCUUUCUGUCGUCACCCUGUGUUGUGUCCCUAGCUUCAUCACCGGUCGUCUUCUUGCUUCAUACAUCGGCGCAGGUGUUUCUAGCUUCACGCGACUCGGUUCGUUGGUCGGUGGCUGCCGUCUUUUGUUUCUGGCCGGUAGUUGCAGCUUUCGUUGAAGAAGAAGAAGAAGUGGUUGUGCGGUGUUUGGCUACAGGGGUCUGCUAUCCCAAACCCAGAGAAAAAGAGAGUUGCAGAGUGGUUUUUGAGAGACAGAGAGACAGGACAGACAAGAGGAGUUGACGGCGUUUGUCUGGCGUUUGUGAAUCUGUAGGAAACCUCAUCCAACGGCUGCAAAAGGAGAGCUCGUGGGUACUCUUAUGAGAGCGUCCUCGCUCUAGCAUUACCCUAUAUAUAAUGUAAUACAGUUUUGGGUUGAGCCGUAGCCCGCAGGUGAAGUCUUUCCAGCUCCAGUACAGGGUUUAUCUUCAGUUUUUUUAACAAAUGAAAUCAGAGUCCAAAUUUAUCAAAUGAGCGCAGGCGGAGCUUUUGGUGGGAAUAGGGGAGCGAGUCCAGUACCACCAGAAAAGGGAGUGUUCCCUUUAGAUCACAUGCAUUUAUGUGACCUGGAGAAGAAAGAAUACAUCACUUGCUUAAAGUCUUCUGGACAUAAAUCUGAAAAGUGCAGGAACUUCUCAAAAAAGUACCUGGAGUGUCGUAUGGAAAACGAUCUCUCCUCGGUGAUCUCAGUUCUUGUCUCAGCAAUCUCUCUCGGAUCCCUCCUCGGCUCUCUCCUCGAUGAUUUCUCUCGGGUUCAUCUCGGCUAGAUCUUGGUUCUCUUAUUUCGGCUCCCUCUCACUACUAUAUCUCAUUUGUUCAGCAACUCUUAUGAUGGAUACUAAGGAAUCCCAUAUUCUUGGGUCAAUCACCAGCACCAAACUAGUAAAGCGUGAGCGUGCAAAUCAGCCCUCCUCCACCUCUACUAUCGUUACUUCAGGAUCUUAAGACGAAGAAGACGGUUGGUGGGGGAUUUGAGAAGGAUGGUCUUUACUACUUCUAGCCAACUGCUGCUCCGACCGCUCUACAUUCCACCUCCUCUUUAGCUUACCAGUGGCAUUGCCGCCUUGGACAUCCCUUUUCAAAUAGUCUUCAAGCCUUGGUCCCUUCUUUAGUUGAUUUUUCUAAGUUUAAUUGUACUACUUGCGAACUUAGUAAACAUCGUCGGGCUACUUUUAAGUCUUGUUAUGAUAAAAAUUUAAAACCUUUUGAGUUAGUACAUUCAGAUGUUUGGGGACUAGCUCGUACUACUGGUUUAUUUGGUGCUCGUUGUUUUGUGUCAUUUAUUGAUGAUUAUUCACGUUUAUCUUGGGUUUAUAUUCUUAAAGAUAGAUCUCAAGUAUUCUCUAUUUUUCAAUCCUUUUAUGCUGAAAUUCAAAAUUAGUUUGAUGCAAAAUUACUUGUUCUUAGAACUGACAAUGCCCUUGAAUAUCAACUUAAUGUUUUUCAAAAGUUUCUUGAGUCGAGGGGCAUUAUCCAUCAAACAUCUUGUGUUGAUACCCCUCAACAAAAUGGAGUUGCUGAAUGGAAGAAUAGCCCACUCCUAGCUAUCGCUCGUGCCUUAAUAAUUCAAAUGCAUGUUCCAAAACAUUUUUGGGCAGAUGCAGUUCUGGUUGUUGCUCAUCUUUUAAAUCGCAUGCCUUCUAGGGUCCGUCCAAAUGAUGUUUUCUGACAAAAAUCCUUUUUCCAUUCCUCCAAAGGUGUUUGUGUGUGUCUAUUUUGUUCAUAAUCUAAGCCCAGGACGAGACAAACUUGAUCCUCGUGCUCACAAAUAUAUUUUCUUAGGUUAUUCUCGCACUCAAAAGGGAUAUAAAUGUUAGUCCAACUCUUCGUAAACAAUUUGUGUGUGCAAAUGUAACUUUCUUUGAGGAUGUUCCUUAUUGUUCUCAGGAAGGCAGUCGUCUAGAGGACUCUGUUUUCAAGAGGUUGUUUUUCCAACUCCAGUUUUUGAUUCUGAUAUCCCACUAGCUCUUCGUGUUUAUGCUCGUCGCCAGAAAAGAGUAGUUAAUCAUGUUCCAACGACUGAAGUAGUAAACCCAGCCUUGCCACUUCCACCAGUCGCUUUAAUGCCUGAAGAUUCUUCCAUCUCUUCGGACUCUGAUCUUGAUCAACCUAUUGCUGUUCGGAAAGGAACUUGAUGGCAAAGCAAGACAUGUCAGAACUUGGCUUUGGUAAGGAACCCAACAUGGAAACUACCGGUGAAAAAGAAAAUAAUAAAUAACUGAAAUCUCAUCACUGGAUUUUCAAACUAUUUUUUAGGGGGGGGGGUUUUAUGAUUGGUUUAUUUUUUUUUUUAAUCAUGGUAACACGUGAAAUUAUAUGAAUGCAGAGAGUUUAGAGUUGUUUGUAUUAUGAACUUAUUGAGCAAAGUUGAAAUUUGUUUCUGCA